GACGAACGCUGGCGGCGUGCUUAACACAUGCAAGUCGAGCGACUGCAUUCUUUUCGGAGGGUGUAUGGAGCGGCGAACGGGUGAGUAACACGUGAGUAAUCUGCCUUUGGCUUGGGAAUAACUUCGGGAAAUCGGGGCUAAUGCCUGAUGUUUACUGUCUGCUGCAUGGUGGGUGGUGGAAAGAUUUUUUGGCCAGGAGUGAGCUCGCGGUCUAUCAGCUUGUGGUUGGGGGUAAGUGGCUUACCUAAGGCGUUUGUACGGGUAGCCGGCCUGAGAGGGUGGUUCGGCCACACUGGGACUGAGACACGGCCC
rnacentral:rRNA from 1 species